AAAACCACAAAAAAAAACCCACAACUUUAAAUAUUUCCAAUAUGUUAAUAACAAUUUGUUUAGUGAAAGCGAUACACGAAAUUGAUCAAAAGGGGCAGGCGAAGGAGCAAUCUGCAGUCAAAAGAUUGAGUAGUUCUUCUCUGGGUCAUUGAUCUGAUUCAAUUUGCUGAACUCGUUUCGAUCAGUGGCUCAUAAAUUGUUGGAUUGCCUAGGAUUCGGAUCUGUAAAGUGCUAAGCAAUUCUUUAAUGGUUUCCCUCCACUAAUUUGUGGCACUAAUUUGCUGUCUUGCCUUUGGGGUUCUCGAAUGUUUUAUUUGCCACGCGCCAGUGUUUUAUUGUUUUGCUCUGUUUUCUGAUAGAGACGAAAGCGUGAGACGAGGGCGUGACACGCACGACACUUAAACGAGAACCUUUCAGCUCCCAUUUCUAUCGAAAAUUUAAAUUUUGGAAGAUUUAAAGCUCUUCUAAAGUGAGUGCCUCAAGUAUUACCCUUAAGCAUUUAUCUUAGUCUUUUUUUUCGUUGAUAUUCAGACGUAAAUCUAUAGCAAAAAUUUAAGUUCUUUCUAUGAAUAAAUGUAUAUUUUGUAAA